UUGCGAAAGGCUACAGACGGUUCCUAUCCGACAAUUCCAGCGUUGCUAUGGUACUGAUAAACAAACCUGCUAAUGCUAAUUAGUUAGCUAGCAACAGACAUCGAACUAUUGACAUUAUACCGCUAUAUCACAUUUAACCGACGUGACAUGUCAACGUCCUGGGCAACUUUUCUCCACGCAGCAGCCCUUCUAUUAUAUCUGUAUAAGAGAGGUCAUAGAGAAUCGUACAUUCAGACACUUAUCAUCACCUUCAGCACUCAUU